rnacentral:lncRNA from 1 species
AUUCCCUCUUCUGUGUCAGAAUAUAUUCUCCAAUUUGUGAUUUCGGGAGCAAGAGUUGUCUUUAUUUGGCUACAGCUGAGAGGAAUGGUAGCAUCCUUUACCACACUUUUUUCUGGUGCCGUGAAAUUGAGAUUGGAAGAAACCCAUGAUGUGAAGGUGAAUGUUGGAGAUGCUUGCAUCCUGACAUACUGUCUAAUCUGCAAAAUCUGAGGUUUGGAGGGUGGAGGAAAUUGUGAAGAC